rnacentral:rRNA from 1 species
UGGGGAAUAUUGGACAAUGGGGGAAACCCUGAUCCAGCGACGCCGCGUGGGUGAAGAAGGCCUGCGGGUUGUAAAGCCCUUUCGGUAGGGACGAAAACUCUUGAUCUAACAGGUCAGGAGCUUGACUUAACCUACAUAAGAAGCACCGGCUAACUCUGUGCCAGCAGCCGCGGUAAUACAGAGGGUGCGAGCGUUAAUCGGAAUUACUGGGCGUAAAGCGCACGUAGGCGGCUUUGUAAGUCGGUUGUGAAAUCCCCGGGCUCAACCUGGGAACUGCAUCCGAAACUACAUUGCUAGAGUAUGGGAGAGGGAGGCGGAAUUUCCGGUGUAGCAGUGAAAUGCGUAGAUAUCGGAAGGAACAUCAGUGGCGAAGGCGGCCUCCUGGACCAAUACUGACGCUCAGGUGCGAAAGCGUGGGGAGCAAACAGG